rnacentral:rRNA from 1 species
GAUGAACGCUGGCGGCGUGCCUAAUACAUGCAAGUCGAGCGAACGGACGAGAAGCUUGCUUCUCUGAUGUUAGCGGCGGACGGGUGAGUAACACGUGGAUAACCUACCUAUAAGACUGGGAUAACUUCGGGAAACCGGAGCUAAUACCGGAUAAUAUUUUGAACCGCAUGGUUCAAAAGUGAAAGACGGUCUUGCUGUCACUUAUAGAUGGAUCCGCGCUGCAUUAGCUAGUUGGUAAGGUAACGGCUUACCAAGGCAACGAUGCAUAGCCGACCUGAGAGGGUGAUCGGCCACACUGGAACUGAGACACGGUCCAGACUCCUACGGGAGGCAGCAGUAGGGAAUCUUCCGCAAUGGGCGAAAGCCUGACGCAGCAACGCCGCGUGAGUGAUGAAGGUCUUCGGAUCGUAAAACUCUGUUAUUAGGGAAGAACAUAUGUGUAAGUAACUGUGCACAUCUUGACGGUACCUAAUCAGAAAGCCCCGGCUAACUACGUG